UUUUAAAAAAAAAUGCGUUAUAUGAAGUACAAAUAACAUAUCGUCCAUGCUGAGUUUUUAUUCAUACAAUACCAAUACCUGAUACAUAGCCUGGUGCUGUUCCAUGUAGUUUUCUUUUUCUGUUUCUUGAGAAGUAUUUGUUUUACCUUUUCACUCACUAUAAAGUGUUACAAUUCAUAUUUAAACGCAACACAUAAAUAGUUACCAAAAAGGUACCGCAGUCGCAUGAGAGAAGCUAGAAGAAAAAAAAUGAAAUUUACGCAUUUUCGACAUUUUUGUGGGACCAUGUCGACCAUCAUAUACAAUUUUAAAAGAUGUGGUUUCAUUGUCAAUAUGACAGAUAUUCAUAGAACAAAAAAAAAAAAAAAGUGAACCGUGAUAUUCAUAUGCGGAUCUAGGAUAAAUUUUAAAAAUGGGGGUAACCGGGGGCACCAAACUUUUAAAGUCUGCUUUGACCAGAACUGUAGCCUUUAACAGGGGUGACUGCGUGAUCCCGGUCGCCGGUAACCGGGUCGCCUACCCCUAAAUUCGCUUCUGAAAUUAAAGGUAACCGCAGGGCCUUUCCUAGUCCAAAUAAUUAUGACGUCUUGAAGGCUA
rnacentral:lncRNA from 1 species